rnacentral:lncRNA from 1 species
CGCAGUAUCAAUGUCUUCAGCAAGCUUCUCAGACAUGGAGUUUCUUGCCAUCAUCCUCAUGAUCACAUCGCUUUGUGCCGAUGAAUCCAUCAACGACCAUGGUCCAAUUUCAGACAUCCCAAAUGUUGUUACCAUCUGCAAAGUACAAUAACCAAACAGUCUCAUUAGGUACGAACAAGAACAAUGUGAAAAAAAGCUGAAGGUGUUAUAGGUACCUACCUGCUUAGCCAAACCGGUGAUCUGUUGCAAGUCACCAACCGCGCCAGUAGUAACCUCAGGCUCACCAAAGAUGAUUUCUUCAGCGGC